ACGUCCACACACGCUCUGUUCUGCCUGCCGCGUGCAAUCCGCCGCCCGCGCAAUCCGCCAGCGCGCAGACCUUUCCAUCCGCGCCCGCGCCAAAACCGCCGCCCCUGCGCCAAAUCCACCGCCACGCCCUGCUCGCCGAUGGAAGGUCCGCCGCCUGCCGCUCUAUUCUCCACGCGCAAUCCGCCAGCGCGCAGACCUUUCCAUCCGCGCCCGCGCCAAAUCCGCCGCCCUUGCGCCAAAUCUGCCGCCACGCCACUACUCGCCGAUGGAAGGUCUCCACGCGCAAUCCGCCGCCUGCCAUCGCCAGCGCGCAAUCCUUUCCAUCCGCGCCCGCAACGCCCGCCCCUGCGCCAAAUCCUCCUUGGACGCGCCCCGACGGCUGGCGCAACCCGUCGAGCAAAUCCGCGUAGAUCCCGUCUCCAUCUCCCGUCAACCAGGCGAGUCCCGCCGUGAAUGUCGCCCACCUCCCUUCGACUCCGACGCUCCCAGGACCACACCGCCCAAGCCGUCGAGCAAAUCCGCGUUGUGCAAGUGGUGGCGCAGCCUCGCGCCCGCCCUGCUCGCCGCCGCACUGGCGAUCACGGUGGCCGCGCUGCGGCCGGCGACGGAGCACGCGGACGCCAAGGGGCGGCCGCCGCUGUGGUUCUGGCCAGGAGGAGUGUUCAAAGUGGCCCUGUUCGCGGACCUGCAUUAUGGCGAGGACGCGUGGACGGACUGGGGCCCCGCGCAGGACGCCGCGUCCGACCGCGUCAUGGCCGCCGUCCUCGACGCCGAGAACCCAGACUUGGUGGUGUACGAGCAGCCAUAGAUGUGCAGACAUCCCUAUUGGAAGAAGAUCCGAACAAGAAUUAUCAAGAAGACAAAAGGUAAAUAAUACAACACCCAUACUUAUUCUUCUUCUGAUUUUUGAUAGUUUAUGAAGAACAAUAAUAUUGUGCAAACUGCUAAGCUGCUAGCUUGUUAUCUAUUUUUAGACAAUAUACACCUCUUGUUAAGAAUGGAGAGGUAGGAGAUGAUCCUGGAGGCAGCAUGUCAAAGAUAGAACUCACAUGUUUGUUGUUCUUCUAUUUUUUUAUCGCUCAUAAGGAAAAUUGAGACCCUGCUCUUGAUGUUUUAGACAUGGCGUACUUCCUGUUAUGGUGCCUGAAAUUGGCAUGAAGUUUCAGGAUGAGGUAGAGGCUUGGAAGUUUUGGAAUACAUAUGGUAACACGGUUUUGAGGUUAGAAUGAGAGAUGCAAACAAAAGAAAAUCUAUUGGAAUACUGAGAUCAUUUAGAUUUAUUUGUGCAAAAGAGGGUCAGUGGAAAUAAGGUAAAAUAAGUCAUCUUGUAAACGGCCACGAGCUAAAACUAGAACUAAAUGUCUUGCUGUAUUUUGAACUAAAUGUAUUAUUAUUGUUCUAUCUUUUGGAGAUAGAAAUACGAGCAUGCAGUCAAUCUCAGCAUGCAUUUAGUUUCAAUUAAAUCUUGGUAAACAACUUGGUCUCUCCUACUCUAUAUGUUGUUACUGUAGGCGUCCACACGCGCUCUGUUCUGCCCGCCGCUCUGUUCUGCCUGCCGCGCGCAAUCCGCCGCCCGCGCAAUCCGCCAGCGCGCAGACCUUUCCAUCCGCGCACGCGCCAAAUCCGCUGCCCCUGCGCCAAAUCCACCGCCACGCCCCUGCUCGCCGAUGGAAGGUCCGCCGCCUGCCGCUCUAUUCUCCACGUGCAAUCCGCCAGCGCGCAGACCUUUCCAUCCGCGCCCGCGCCAAAUCCGCCGCCCCUGCGCCAAAUCUGCCGCCACGCCCCUACUCACCGAUGGAAGGUCUCCACGCGCAAUCCGCUGCCUGCCAUCGCCAGCGCGCAAUCCUUUCCAUCCGCGCCCGCAACGCCCGCCCCUGCGCCAAAUCCUCCUUGGACGCGCCCCGAUGGCUGGCGCAACCCGUCGAGCAAAUCCACGUAGAUCCCGUCUCCAUCUCCCGUCAACCAGGCGAGUCCCACAGUGAAUGUCGCCCACCUCCCUUCGACUCCGACGCUCCCAGGACCACACCGCCCAAGCCGUCGAGCAAAUCCGCGCUAUGCAAGUGGUGGCGCAGCCUCGCGCCCGCCCUGCUCGCCGCCGCACUGGCGAUCACGGUGGCCGCGCUGCGGCCGGCGACGGAGCACGCGGACGCCAAGGGGCGGCCGCCGCUGUGGUUCGGGCCAGGAGGAGUGUUCAAAGUGGCCCUGUUCACGGACCUGCAUUAUGGCGAGGACGCGUGGACGGACUAGGGCCCCGCGCAGGACGCCGCGUCCGACCGCGUCAUGGCCGCCGUCCUUGACGCCGAGAACCCAGACUUGGUGGUGUACGAGCAGCCAUAGAUGUGCAGACAUCCCUAUUGGAAGAAGAUCCGAACAAGAAUUAUCAAGAAGACAAAAGGUUCUGUCUUUGUGGUCAUAUGGAAACCUCAAAUCUUCGCUUCCCACUGUAUCAAAUUCCUUGGGAUCCUUAUGACGCAAAAAGAAGCUUAUUCUCCUAAGAUAUGUGAGAUGGCCAAGUUCUUGGGCAAAGACAUUUGUUUGCUUGAAGACAUCAACACCUUCUAACUGCUCCAAUGCCAUCAUACUUCUGAUCCCAGCUGGAGUGUUGAAACAGGAGUGCAUCAACUUUCAUGAGAUAAUGAUCCAGUGGACGUGCCAAUGACAAGGUCAUAGAAGAAGCUAUGCUUGAGGAAGCUAUGAGUGACUGAAGGAUUUCAUUUUCCGUACUAUCAUGUUUCAACUUUCAUUGGCCAGUCAUCAAAGAAGUAUAUGAUGUGUUUGGAUUUGGGGUUCUGUUAGUCAAGUUGAUCAUUGGUCAGAAGGCGUUGGAUUUUGGAAGAGUAGCAAAUCAGAAAGGUGGAAUGCUCGACUAGGUUAAGAAACUUCAUAAAGAAAAGCAGCUACCUUUCUUUGGUGGACAAAGGCCUGGGUAGCAACUAGGACAGGGUUGAGUCAGUACCACUUGUCUCACUGGCCUAGAAUGUUCGAGGUGAUCAGGUGGAAGGAGACGGGCUCACACAGAGAUGGGAGGUGUCGUAGAACGUAGACACGCUAGAGUUCGUCUCAUCGGAGCUCCUACUUCAAAAGUACAUGGAUUUUGCAGCGGACGAAUGCUCGCUUGGUGUAGAAGCCAUGGAGCUCUUUGGACCAAGGUGACCAUCUGAUCGACCGGAUCGGCCAUCACACAGGUCGCAUAGGUGUAUUGCCAUAUCAAGCCUAUAUUAUUGUUGUAUUACAUUGGACGCAUAGGGAAGGGAAAAAUCCAGUGGAUUGUAGGGUGUGAUCUGUCUGUCUAUAGUUGUGGUGGCAUUCAUUUGUGCAGAUGAUUUGUGAUAUAUUGAUGUCGAGAAUACAUAUGUUGUUUAUUUCUAUGUAAUCGUUGCACACUAUAAUGUUAUCAAACAACUUUUGUAUUGUUGCAAGAGGCGACAAAAAUCUGAUGGAUUGUAAUGUGUGAUUUGUCUAUCUAUAGCUGUGGUGGUAUUCAUUUGUGCAAAUGAUUUGUGGUAUAUCAUGCCGAGGAUAUAUAUUCUUGUUUUUAUGUAACUGUGCGUACGUGGAAAUCACUUUUGUUUAAUCAUGUAUGAUUUCAUUGUUUAACCCACGGAUUACAAUGAGAUUCAGUAAGUGGCGGUGGGAGCGCCAGUGGGUGAUGAUGAUGGGUGCAAGGCCGCUGCCCUGGUGACGGUCAUCGUCCUCAGGAGUGUCAUCCCGUUGCGUUUCAUUGGGCUCGAGGGUGAUAUGAUGGUCGAAGUGAUCCUCCACGUAGCGCUUCUCUCCGCUGUUGCGCUCGUGAGGGGCGCAUGCUGCUUGGCACUAACCUCGCUGGCUUUGUCCUCUCCAUCGCCAACGACAUUGGCGGUUCUAGAGCUAUGAUGUCAUACUUGUCAAUUCUAUUGAGGCAAGACCAGUAUUCUCAAGGUAUUAUCAGAUACCUAGAAUUGUAUGACCAUAGUUUGUUCUGUUUGAAAUUGAUAGAAUACUUUCUCAAUGUCAGAUGUUUGAUUUGGACCAUGUGUCUGUGGCUUUCUACAGUCUUAUGCAUGAGCCUUUAAAAUCUAUACCUAUCAUUUGGGUUGUGCAUGAAUAUUCUCUUGCACAUCGUGCUAAAGAAUAUAAUGUGAGUGGAAUGAUUCAGCUCAUAAAAGCUUGGAAAGAUGUAUUCAGCAGGACAAAUGUUAUAGUUUUCCCAAACUAUAUAUUACUGGUAUUUACUUCUGAUCUGAUUGUUAUUUCAACAAUCAUUGAGUCAUUGUCAUAUGGAUGAAGAACCUCUGACCAAAAAUUAUAAUUAAAUAUUUCCCUGCAGCUGAUGUAUGCUGCAUUUGAUUCUGGUAACUAUUUCGUGAUUCCAGGCCCCCCUCAGAAGCAUUUCAGGUUGACAGCUUUAUUGCUAAAAGUUACCAUGAAGAUGUGAAGAUUAGCUUGCAUGUGAAGAUCAGAGUAAAAGGACUGUGAUUGAAAACUCUAUAAUCUACUUUCUCUUAAGAUUUAAUUGUAAAU